GGUCUGGAAGGCAGAAGGAGCGCUGCAGCCCCGGCCCCGCACUGAUCCUGAGGCCCUGGCACAGCCCCAGGGGGAAGCGGGUCUGCUUCCGGGAAGGCUCCCCGCGGGCGAGGCCCGUCUUACAGAGUUUAGGAACCAGCUAAGAGACUUAGGUCAGGUCCUCACAGCGCACCGGGCUGGGGUGGGGGGGCUGGGGGGGUGCCAGGGGGUGACCGCACUGACCCACGACCACCCCUCUGGAGGAGGGGGCCACAGUCCCACGAGACUAGAGCACAGCUUGACCCUGAGCUGGGCCGGGGUGGGGGUUAGGGAGUCAGGAUCCGUGCAGUUAGAGGGGAAAACCAAAUGGAGUUAUUUUUAGUCAUCUUUGAACUGAAAUUUAGCAUUUCUUCCCAUUAGCAGGUCUGUAGGCAACGUGCCACAAUAGUAUGAAGAGAAUCUGACUUUGUCAUCAAGAAAAAACACAAAUAUUUUCAUACCAUGUUAGAGUGGUUUGCAGAAACCUCAAAAUAUAUCACUUUGGUUCAUCACUACUUUAACAAGUGAGCCACCCAGGUGCCCCUAUCAUCACUACUUUGAAAUUACAGUAGUUCUCAGGGCCGCUUCAUAUCUUGUAACAUUUUGAUAGCCGUGUUUCAGUACAAAUAUGUUUUAUUUCAUGCAUUUGAAAGAUCCCUCUGGGAAGGGUAAAAACAGAAGGGCCGAGGCGGGGGAGGUUCCUGGCUGGCUCCUCAGUAGGGAACAGGAGUCUCCAUCUUAGGAUUGUGAGUUCAAGCCCCACAUUGGGAACAGAGUUUACCUAAAAAAAGAGAGAGCACAGGGGUCCGUUGACGUCCCCGGUGCAGUUAUGAACCCCUCCUAGGGUGGUUUGAUGACUGAGGGGAUGUGGUGUGGGACCAUGGAUGGGGGUGGUCUCCGGCUCUGGCUCUGCCCCCACCUGGAACUUGCCAUUCCAGAAUCUCGUUCAUCCAUGCCCAAGAGCUCUGCCUGUCUAAGCUCAGUGUGUCCAGCUGGCUCAGCCCACCUCAUCUUGUUCUCUGCUAUCCUGGGACAGAUAAAGACAGGGCCAUCAAGGGCACGGACCAAGAGACAGCAAGGGACAGCACGCAACUGGACCGAGAGGGUUUCUUAGGUACAGACUUGCACACUUGUAUACCUUCACAAAGUGCUAGAAUCACAAAACGGGAGAGAAGGAGCCAUUAGGGGCCUGCUGAUGGAAAGUAACAGGAGAGAGCAUCACCUACGAAUGCUUGGAAAAUAAACUCACCCCCCCAUUGUGACCUUGAGAUCAAGAGUCACUGAGAUCACCCCAGAUGACCUUGAGAUGGUGAGUCAUAUGCUCCAUGGAUUGAGUCAGCCCAGUGCCCUUGAGUGACCCAUUCUUGCACAUUUAGUGAUUUAAUGAUAAUAAUGCCUAGGAUUUGCCCUGGUAAUUCAGUGGGGGAGGGGAGAGACUUGCGGGUCAGGGGAACUGGCAGUCUGUCUGUCCACCUGGGUGACUGCCGCAGAAA